GACGAACCGCCCAAACGUUAUUCGGAAUUACUGGGCUUAAAGGGUGCGUAGGCGGCCCGGCAAGUCAGGUGUGAAAUCCCACGGCUCAACCGUGGAACUGCGCUUGAAACUGCCGGGCUUGAGGGAGAUAGAGGUAAGCGGAACUGAUGGUGGAGCGGUGAAAUGCAUUGAUAUCAUCAGGAACACCGGUGGCGAAGGCGGCUUACUGGGUCUCUUCUGACGCUGAGGCACGAAAGCUAGGGGAGCGAACGGG
rnacentral:misc_RNA from 1 species